GACGAACGCUGGCGGCGUGCUUAACACAUGCAAGUCGAACGGAAAGGCCUCUUUCGUGGGGUACUCUCGUGUCGAGCGGGGGAGUAACACGUGAGUAACCUGUGCUUUUGUUUGUGAGAACUUCUGGGAAAUGGGGCGAAUACAGGGUAGGGGCUCCUCCGGCGUGGGGGGGGGGGGGAAGUGUCGGGGGGGGUGGGGGUGGUCUCGCGGUUUCUCAGUUUGUUUGUGGGGUAGUGGUGUCACAAGGCUUUGGGGGGUAGCCGGGCUGAGAGGGUGAGCGGGCACAAUGGGAAUGGGAUAAGGGCCAGACUCCUAAGGGAGGCAGCCGUGGGGAAUAUUGCAACAUGGGUGGAAGCCUGAUGCCGCCACGCCGUGGGCGGGAUGAAGGCCUUCGGGUUGUAAACCGCUUUCGCUCAUGAAGAAGCUUUGUGUGACGGUAGUGGGUAAAGAAGCACCGGCUAACUACGUG
rnacentral:rRNA from 1 species